UCCACAAGGAACUUCUUGAUAUAAAUUCACCUCAUCAAGUCGCGAUAGCUGAUGUUCGUGUCCUUCUUACAAUUAGCUCUAAUUGAUUAUAAAAUAAUGUCGGUGGGAUGCACGUACGUUCUCAACUACUCGCUCCUGGAAAUUCGAUAAGGAAAUACGAGACUCGCAAGACCUCUUACUCCGUAUUGAAGUACCUUGGGGUGCGAUAACAACGUUUUGCCGGUAGAGUUGGUCGGUUGGAGAAACUUUGAAAUCAAGCCGAAUGGGUUAGUGGAUCCUGCGCUAGCUUUGAUAAAGUCGUCAAGGUGAUAAUAGGUUAAUGUACCCAGUUGGCAGGAGCUAUGCCAUAGUCGGUAAUUUGAUUCGGAACGUGACGUAUAGAAAACUUAUAUGUAUAGGACAUUUUUACCGAGUCAUUCCUUGACUCGUGUGUGUCACGUAGGUAUGGUACAUACCUACCUAUGUACGUUACCGAAGCAAAACUCGUUAGGGAGACAUUAUAAUAAUCCCCUUUCCCUACUCAAUUGUAUUGAAUUGACGCAGAACGUAGGCUGAAUUAGCUAUUAAAAUAUAUACAUACACGCACACACAACUAUGUGGAUAGGAUGUAUGCAAAGGCACGACUCGUUAAAACCUUUUGAUACUCUCUAAUUGUACUCCCAUUCAAAUGCCAUCCCGCUCUAACUGGGGCACAAUGGUCAACGUUUGGCAUUACAUAAAGAAUAAAUUGUAUGUGCUCUUGCAACUCGUGCACAAGUGAAUGUGAUCACAGGGUCAGUCUAAGCUCGUCUUAUCAUUGAGGAUGUUAAGAAACUCUCGGGAAGAAGCCUUAUCAUCGCCCAUUAUUUAUAGUAUACGUAAGAUUCGCGCGCUACAAAUGGAUUCAUUCAUAAACCUGCACGUGUAAUAUUCCAACGGCCUAUGCCCCUAUGUUAUUCGCUACGAACGACGUAUAUCGAUUAAAAUUAAUUGCUCCUAAUACUCAUUAAUUUUUACAUAGCGCUACGGGUGUACACAUUUGGGGGAGAGUGAAAAGUAUGUUGGUUCAACUUGAAUAGAGGCAGCCACUCCUCAUUUCUGCGUUCUUUCAUUUUCAAUAUUUUUCAUUUUUAUUUGACGAUUUGUUUUGCUGCGCGUUCAAAAUGAAAAGAUGUAUUACAUCAUAUCGAGAGGGUUUCAUAUCAACCCUCGGAUCGACGGGAUGACGCCAUAUGGCGCGCCCCGAUCAUUCGCACCUUAUUGAUGCUUAGGAGACAUUAAUUUGUACGACUAUUCGCACCGGAGGUAGCGAUAUUCUGAUUUGCAAAAUGACGCAGUGGGCCAAUACCCGUAAUGGUAAAAGGAAUGUCAGUUAUCCCAAGUGAUUUAUAGUAAAUCUUAUAGAUUUUACGCUAUAUAACGUGGUAUUGAAGGACGAACUGUCAUACGAUGAUAGUUCGAUAAAUGUUGUCCAGCUAAAAUUGGUCGCUGGGAACUAAGAACUUUUCACUAUACGAAAGUUUGUACGAAACAUCUGCGAGUAGUAAAUUCAAUAUAAAAGUGUAAAAGUUUAGCAAUUCUUCUUGUCUCUACAGAUCCGAUCACACCUUCAAGCCCACACUUGUAUAUUCGUCCAACAAUAAGCAGCGAAUUGCGAGUUGUUGCACCGAACACAAUCGAACUCCCUUGAGAUUUAUCCAGCGAAUUUGACCCCAGUAAAAUUAGGAGCAAAGAAUUGAACAGCAGUUAUUGGAACUUGCCUAUAGAAUCAUCUCACCUGUGUAGAGACAAAUCCAUCUCGACGUUCGUUAAUUCUUUCUAAUCAACAUCGCGAACGUCUCAUUAGCGCGCUUGCGGGAAACAUCACCGUUCAAUCGGCGCCGUUCAUUAAUGUUCAAUUGUCGCGUUAUCCAUGGAGAUGGGGUCGUUUCACAGGACUCUACGUUACACAAAUUAAUCAAUAUCGGAAAAUAUUACCUUAAAAAAAAACUGAAAACAAAAAUUUCUCGGCGAAUGUUCCCGCGGUGAAUCACCUUGGCUCAACAACUCCUCUUUUUUUCUCUCGACUCUCCAGAUCAUACGGACUUGAUUUAUUCUACUUUGCAAAUUUAGAAACCCUUCAACUUCAUCAAUACACGAAAUGAUAAAGUUAAUGAAAUAGUUAUCUUUUAAAAUAGAAAUCACAGACACAUGAACAUUGCAUAUACGUAUACAUGUGCUUUGAAUCCGUGCACAUAUUCAGCUAUACAUAUAAUUUACUAGGCUAUAUUAUUCCCGAAAUUUUAUCUUCACACAGAUAUGUUAUCUGUAAUGGAAAUAUCGAGAAUUUUUGAUCAUGACAAUUGUGUAUGCCUACGAUUAAUUCUAUUAUCUGCUUAUUGCAGCUACUUCGCAGUAUGGAAAUGGACCCACGCUACCCCCCCCCCCCCCCCCCCCCCCCCCCAUUCGGAACUAUGUUACUCCAACCGCUGAAACGAACAUGAGGAUAAGUAUCCAUCGACGUAGUCUUGACGAAGGAAAAUAGGAAAGCGAAUAUGAUGAGGAUCUGAUCUGAGGUUAUGGAAUAUACCAUAGAAAUUCAUUGUUAGUUUAUUAAAAAUUUAUUAGAGCAAAAUAAUUAAUCGAUAAAAAAAGCUGCGCAUAUGUUACACCGAUGUAGAGGAAUUCAUCGUUUAAUGGAGAUAUCCGAGAGCUUCUGGUCGCACAUGAUGACUGCGAGUACCGAUCCAUGGUUCAAGUGCCGCAAGCGACAAGUUGUAUAACAGCCAAACGCAGAAUAUGGAAAAAAGGGUCGUCACAACUCCGUACCUAUGGUUUCACCACAAAUUAGUCAAAACUAUCUGACUAAUUAUCACAAAGCCACGUUUACACCAGAGAGAUUAGCUGUGAUAACAAACAGAACUUACCCAAAGAUCCAUAAUAUUAUGAUUCCCAGAAACAUGGGUACCAGAAAUCUGUGGCUAGCCACAAUUCGAAGACUGAGCCGAGGU